GACGAGUAGCAUGAAAUUUCCUGUAUUGAUUUUGGUCCUUCAAGACAAACAUCUCCUUGGAGCUGAUUCUGACUCAUAGUACAGUCCGGAAGAAAACAGUGCAGUGUUUACAAGAAGACAGUGUCUCGUCUCAUGUAUCGCCGCUGACCUUAAACUUUCGAAGAAGUUGAGGAUGACCUUCUGAUCUUCCUCCAUCCAUCUCCUAGCUCUCCAGAACCAUGGACACAGGUCCUCUGAGCACUCUAGCUGACAACUGGUCUUGUGCUGAAGGAUUGGUAAUUUGUCUUUAAAUCCUUCUUAGGGGCCUUUCCUAUAAUAGUAAGAACAAAAUAAUAGCCUUCAGCAUUUACAUAUCAGUUUGUAAUUUCUUGUAGAUUUUCAUAUCACCUAACUGUUUGAAUCCCCCGGAGAAAUCCUGUGAUGAAAUUCCGAUUAUUAUUCUAAUCAUUUCAGAGGCAAGACAUCUCUCCUCAAGGCUCUUGUCCUUAAGAUACUCCCCUCAGAAAGCCUCUGGGUCUACCCCGGAGCUCCAGACAUCUUUGUUGAAUUGAUAAAAUGCUGCUUGAUUUG
rnacentral:lncRNA from 1 species